rnacentral:rRNA from 1 species
GAUGAACGCUGGCGGCGUGCCUAAUACAUGCAAGUCGAGCGAACGGACGAGAAGCUUGCUUCUCUGAUGUUAGCGGCGAACGGGUGAGUAACACGUGGAUAACCUACCUAUAAGACUGGGAUAACUUCGGGAAACCGGAGCUAAUACCGGAUAAUAUUUUGAACCGCAUGGUUCAAAAGUGAAAGACGGUCUUGCUGUCACUUAUAGAUGGAUCCGCGCUGCAUUAGCUAGUUGGUAAGGUAACGGCUUACCAAGGCGACGAUGCAUAGCCGACCUGAGAGGGUGAUCGGCCACACUGGAACUGAGACACGGUCCAGACUCCUACGGGAGGCAGCAGUAGGGAAUCUUCCGCAAUGGGCGAAAGCCUGACGGAGCAACGCCGCGUGAGUGAUGAAGGUCUUCGGAUCGUAAAACUCUGUUAUUAGGGAAGAACAUAUGUGUAAGUAACUGUGCACAUCUUGACGGUACCUAAUCGGAAAGCCACGGCUAACUACGUGCCAGCAGCCGCGGUAAUACGUAGGUGGCAAGCGUUAUCCGGAAUUAUUGGGCGUAAAGCGCGCGUAGGCGGUUUUUUAAGUCUGAUGUGAAAGCCCACGGCUCAACCGUGGGAGGGUCAUUGGAAACUGGAAAACUUGAGUGCAGAAGAGGAACGUGGAAUUCCAUGUGUAGCGGUGAAAUGCGCAGAGAUAUGGAGGAACACCGGUGGCGAAGGCGACUUUCUGGUCUGUAACUGACGCUGAUGUGCGAAAGCGUGGGGAUCAAACAGGAUUAGAUACCCUGGUAGUCCACGCCGUAAACGAUGAGUGCUAAGUGUUAGGGGGUUUCCGCCCCUUAGUGCUGCAGCUAACGCAUUAAGCACUCCGCCUGGGGAGUACGACCGCAAGGUUGAAACUCAAAGGAAUUGACGGGGACCCGCACAAGCGGUGGAGCAUGUGGUUUAAUUCGAAGCAACGCGAAGAACCUUACCAAAUCUUGACAUCCUUUGACAACUCUAGAGAUAGAGCUUUCCCCUUCGGGGGACAAAGUGACAGGUGGUGCAUGGUUGUCGUCAGCUCGUGUCGUGAGAUGUUGGGUUAAGUCCCGCAACGAGCGCAACCCUUAAGCUUAGUUGCCAUCAUUAAGUUGGGCACUCUAAGUUGACUGCCGGUGACAAACCGGAGGAAGGUGGGGAUGACGUCAAAUCAUCAUGCCCCUUAUGAUUUGGGCUACACACGUGCUACAAUGGACAAUACAAAGGGCAGCGAAACCGCGAGGUCAAGCAAAUCCCAUAAAGUUGUUCUCAGUUCGGAUUGUAGUCUGCAACUCGACUACAUGAAGCUGGAAUCGCUAGUAAUCGUAGAUCAGCAUGCUACGGUGAAUACGUUCCCGGGUCU